GAGAAAACUUCCUGAAAUUCUACGUAAAAAUUGUAUGUGUUUAAAUAUGUAUGUUUAAUAGGGGCAGUGAACAUUGUAGAAUCACUCUUCUAGAUUCUUCCUUUUCAUUUAGCCCCACUUCUAAUUUAACCAAAAUGUACUUUCAUACCCAACUUCUUAAGAUCCCUUCAAUUCAUCCCUUCCCUUCUUCCCCACCUGCACUGCCUUAUCUCCUGCCUCUACACAUUUUUUCCUGAACCAUUGGAAUACAUUGGUUACUGGGUUCCCUGGCCCCAUUUUCUUCUUCCUUGCACGCCACUCUCCAUAUUGAUGCUCACGUGAUCUUUUUAAAACGCAGUCUCAAUCAGCCAAAUGUUCCUUAUUACUCAAACUCCUUAAAUAUGAGACCAAAGAUCCUCAAGACAUGGCACUUCUGGUUUUCUAAAUUUAAUUAAUAUAAAUUUUCCAUAUGACCCUGCAAUCCUGAUUGUUUGAGCUCAUUUAUAAUCCCUAAACUUAAUACACAUUUUUAGAUAGGUGUUCCCUCUGCCAGAAAGUCCACCUUUCUUCUAUGACUUGGUGGAAAGUUUCCUUUCCUUGCUCUAAAAGCAACCAUCUCAGAAAACGUUCCUGUCUUCACCAAGAACAGUUAAAGACAUCUUUCUGUCUGAGUCCAUGUGGAUUUAAUUGUAGCAUAUUUCUUGACCUCUAUCUAUUUAUCUUCCUUCUAUGUUAUUUUCAUGGUCUGAUUGAAUUACGAUCAUGUGCAGGGCAGGAAUUAUCAUUUAUUCAUCAUUAUACUGCCAG
rnacentral:lncRNA from 1 species